GUAAGGGCUAAAUGAGAUCAUAGACCCAGCACAGUAUCUGAUCCAUAAUAACUGCUGCAAAACAAUAGCAGCUAUUACUGCAAGGAGGGCAACGCCAACUUCACCCCGUCCCCAGGUGAUCCAGGCUUCUUCCAGAAACCUGCAGAAACGUCACGUCAGAGUUUUUAAUUCAUCGCCCAGUCUGGAUUAAUAAUGCCAUUGGUCUUCGAGAUUUUAACACUGGAGCAUAGAGGAGGUCAGUCUCUACUGACUGCUGAACAUCCAACACGUGACACCCAGGAGUUGUCUACCACCAUGUUUUGGACUAAGGGAAAAAAGCAGGUGGAUUGUUGCAUUUGCAGAUUUAACAUUCUUAAAUUUCCAAGCACAAUUACUACACUAUUUAAAGAUAUGAACAACUUUGAUGACAGUAAUGGAGCAGUACAAAACUGAUUCAUCAAAUAACUUGGGAAAAAACCUACAAUUUUUAUUAAUAGAUGAUAGAUAAUAACAUUUCUAUUCAUAGAUAAUAAUUCCAGCCAUAAUGAAGUAGCGGGGAUCAGAUUUACUCUCCUGACUUAAACAAGUAGAAAACUGGACAAAAUGUAUGAAAUAACAAUUUUCAGAAUGAGACAACAGGCAGCACAGGAUUGUGAUCCUAAAGAAAAGGAAAGCAAAUGAAGAGAUUCCUGUAAUCACCCAGCUUUGCCUGGAGGCACAUUCAAGACCACAGCGUAGGAUGAGCAACCCCACACAGAGCAUGGCAUUCUCUAUGAGUUUGAGGAGCCGAAGAUCCAAGUUCAGAGAGUCUUGGAGGACUGGAAGCUGCAGGGCAGAGUUCUGGGGAAGAAGGAACUUUACAAAAAAAUGAAAGUAAGAAAUUUACACAGCACUUCCUUUGAGUCUUUGCUGAAUAUUAAGACACACAUGUGUAGGGUAGAACUCCAAAAGAUCAGACAAUAGAGUGACUGGGAACUGAAUGGGCUCACAAAGGGCUAAAAAUCAUUUUAGUUCCCACCAACUAAAGUGAAGACUCCUCACUGAUCACUCAAGGUAUUCUGCAGAGACUCUAAAAGGGCCACAUCUUACUUAGUAAUGGAGUUAAACUAUCCCUAAAGACUGCUUUAGACACGCCCUAACAAAGCUUGAAAACAAGCCUCAAACCAAACUGCAAGUGACUUAACUGCCUGCUACAGCAAAGACCAGCACUCUUUAAAAGAAGACCACAAGGCCUGUUGCGGUGGCUCACGCCUGUAAUCCCAGCACUUUGGGAGCCCAAGGCAGGUGGAUCACGAAGUCAAGAGAUUGAAACCAGCCUGGUCAAC
rnacentral:lncRNA from 10 species